ensembl:lncRNA
AGGGAUGUGAAUAUUGCUCGGUUUGUUCUAAGCAGAAGUAAGAUAUUCUCAAAAGGUAUUUAAUUAAAUAUGAUUCGUUGUCAAAGGUGAAAGGUCUGAAGAACUCUGCUCAAAAGUAAUUAAGGGAUUUAGAUAAUGGUUUGUUUUAGUGAAAGAAAGCAUCAGUUAAGAUACAACUGGUUGGCUUAUCUUAAAAAUCAGCUUUCAAAGAGUCUGAUGUGAGUUAAACAUCUUCCACAUUAAGAGAUCGAGGAUACGCUGUGUAAAGAAAUCAUUAUGAAUGAAGAUAAAUACUAGUGUUUUAAAAGCAUUUGAAUAGCAAACAUUAGUAAUUAAAAACGCUGCAUUCGGAGAUGAGGGCAACUGAUAAUGUGUGCCAUUAAAUACACAUCUGGCUUUAAGGUGUGUCUGUGUGUUUACUUUUACUACUGCUUAACAGUAUUAAUUCAAAACUACAAGACGUCUCCACCUCAUGCAUUAUUUUCUUCAAUGAGCCUCAUAAAUAUAGUCACACAGACUUAUUUCAUGCUGCCUUUUUGGAGUAUAAACAACCAUGCAUCCCCCAUCAGUUUAUGCUGAAAACUUGACCAUUAUGUCAGAAAUAAGUGUGGUCAGAACAACACGAGAGUGGGUAAAGGAUGACAGAAUUUACAUUUUGGGUGAACUACUAAAUAAGACCUGUUCGAAGGUUAGGGUUGAAGGUUUUAAACUCGUCCACAGCAUUCUGUGAACCCAGCAGAUGAAGCAUUGCACAGCAGCGUCUCCUCAGCGAAGGUUUGUGUUGCACUGCCCCCUCUGUGCAGCAUCUGAAAGUGAAAGAACACAUGCGCCUCCAUCAGAAACAGAAGUGUGAAUGAACUGCACAGCUGACAUGACAACGCUGCGCUUUCACUCCUGCUCUACAGACUCUUGGGUCCCUGGAAAACAGCUGUCCGCUGGAGUUUCCACGAUGACUGUCGAGAGAACUGAACAUCGUUCUCAGAUGACGCUUCUGUUCAGCGAGAGCACAACGUCAGGACUUCCUGAAACAGUGGCAAACAGCCACCACACAAGCACUUCAGACUGGAAAACAGAAGUGUCUCUCAUGGACAGGAAUAAAACACGCAGUGCCACAUUUAGCAGCACAUUUAGAUACAGACGCAGAGGUGCUUCCUCAGACAACUGACUGUCACCAUGCUAAAUUAAGAAUCUGAGAUAGUUUGGAAACUUGCUUCUAACAGGUCAUAUUACACAGAAAUGUUAAAAUCAACCAGCAAAUUUAUGCUCAGGCAUGACUUCUUAAUUUUAAGUUACAUUUAUGUUAACAUAAAAUGUCAUAGAGGUAUGGAACCCCAUUUCUGUCAUCAACAAACAAACAAAAACUUUUCAUAAAAUUGUGAGAGAAAAAAAAAAAUCUGAAUUGCAUGAUAUAAAUUCAGAGCUGCAAGAUGCAUAAAUAAAUAAAUAAAUCAUAGAUGCAUGGAAAAAAAAGUCUGACUUGUGAGUUUAAAAAGUUUUAAAAAGUGCAAUUACUUUAUGUGUUUUUUAUUAAUUGAUUUAUUCUGUGGCAAAGAAAAAAAGAAACUGAAUAGCGAGAUGUAAAAUCUG